rnacentral:rRNA from 1 species
AUUGAACGCUAGCGGGAUGCCUUACACAUGCAAGUCGAACGGCGUGGCGACCGGGUGAGUAAUGUAUCGGAACGUGCCCAGUCGCGGGGGAUAACUACGCCAAAGCGUAGCUAAUACCGAAUACUCUUGGAGCGGCCGAUAUCGGAUUAGCUAGUGGGUGGGGAAACGGCUAACAAAGGCGACGGUCCGUAGCUGGUUUGGGAGGACGACCAGCCACACUGGGACUGAGACACGGCCCAGACUCCUACGGGAGGCAGCAGUGGGGAAUUUUGGACAAUGGGGGAAACCCUGAUGCAGCCAUCCCGCGUGUGCGAUGAAGGCCUUCGGGUUGUAAAGCACUUUUGGCAGGAAAGCGGUACCUGCAGAAGAAGCACCGGCUAACUACGUGCCAGCCGCCGCGGUAAUAC